UCCUCUAUGGCGCAAUGGUAGCGCGUCAGACUGUUAUAAUAAUAUUAGGCAUCUGUAGGUUCUAAGUUCGAGUCUUAGUGGGGGAG